UGCCAGCAGCCGCGGUAAUACGGAGGGUGCAAGCGUUGCUCGGAAUUACUGGGCGUAAAGCGUGCGCAGGCGGCGCAGCAAGUCAGACGUGAAAGUCCGGGGCUCAACCCCGGGAGGUCGUUUGAAACUGCUGUGCUUGAGUACGGGAGAGGGGUGUGGAAUUCCCAGUGUAGGAGUGAAAUCCGUAGAUAUUGGGAGGAACACCAGUGGCGAAGGCGACACCCUGGCCCGAGACUGACGCUCAUGCACGAAAGCGUGGGUAGCAAACAGGAUUAGAUA
rnacentral:rRNA from 1 species